GGGGAUAACUAGUCGAAAGAUUAGCUAAUACCGCAUACGACCUGAGGGUGAAAGUGGGGGACCGCAAGGCCUCAUGCUGUAGGAGCGGCCGAUGUCUGAUUAGCUAGUUGGUGAGGUAAAGGCUCACCAAGGCGACGAUCAGUAGCUGGUCUGAGAGGACGAUCAGCCACACUGGGACUGAGACACGGCCCAGACUCCUACGGGAGGCAGCAGUGGGGAAUUUUGGACAAUGGGCGAAAGCCUGAUCCAGCAAUGCCGCGUGUGUGAAGAAGGCCUUCGGGUUGUAAAGCACUUUUGUCCGGAAAGAAAUGGCUCUGGUUAAUACCUGGGGUCGAUGACGGUACCGGAAGAAUAAGGACCGGCUAACUACGUGCCAGCAGCCGCGGUAAUACGUAGGGUCCAAGCGUUAAUCGGAAUUACUGGGCGUAAAGCGUGCGCAGGCGGUUGUGCAAGACCGAUGUGAAAUCCCCGAGCUUAACUUGGGAAUUGCAUUGGUGACUGCACGGCUAGAGUGUGUCAGAGGGGGGUAGAAUUCCACGUGUAGCAGUGAAAUGCGUAGAGAUGUGGAGGAAUACCGAUGGCGAAGGCAGCCCCCUGGGAUAACACUGACGCUCAUGCACGAAAGCGUG
rnacentral:rRNA from 1 species